AGAUUGAACGCUGGCGGCAUGCCUUACACAUGCAAGUCGAACGCGAAAGCGGGGGCAACCCCGCCGGUAGAGUGGCGGACGGGUGAGUAAUACAUCGGAACGUGCCCAGGAGUGGGGGGAUAGCCCGGCGAAAGCCGGAUUAAUACCGCAUACGUCCUAUGGGAGAAAGCGGGGGACCUUUCGGGGCCUCGCGCUCAUGGAGCGGCCGAUGUCGGAUUAGCUAGUUGGGUGGGGUAAGAGCUCACCAAGGCGACGAUCCGUAGCUGGUCUGAGAGGAUGAUCAGCCACACUGGGACUGAGACACGGCCCAGACUCCUACGGGAGGCAGCAGUGGGAAUUUUGGACAAGUGGGGGCAACCCUGAUCCAGCCAUGCCGCGUGAGUGAAGAAGGCCUUGGGUUGUAAGCUCGUUCGGCCGGAACGAAUCGCAGCGUUAGAAUAGGCGUUGUGGAGUGACGGUACCGGAAUAAGAAGCGACCGGCGUAACUACGU
rnacentral:rRNA from 1 species